rnacentral:rRNA from 1 species
GGCGGCGUGCUUAACACAUGCAAGUCGAACGAGGUCCAUGAAGUAGCAAUACUUCGGAAGACCUAGUGGCGAACGGGUGCGUAACACGUGAGGAACUUGUCCCGGUCUCUGGGAUAACAGUUGGAAACGACUGCUAAUACCGGAUGACGUCGGAGCAUCGCAUGGUGCGCUGACGAAAGGGUUACUGGAUCGGGAGAGCCUCGCGGCCUAUCAGCUUGUUGGUGGGGUAACGGCCCACCAAGGCAUCGACGGGUAGCUGGUCUGAGAGGAUGAUCAGCCACACUGGGACUGAGACACGGCCCAGACUCCUACGGGAGGCAGCAGUGGGGAAUCUUGCGCAAUGGGCGAAAGCCUGACGCAGCAACGCCGCGUGCGGGAAGAAGGCUCUCGGGUUGUAAACCGCUUUCAGCAGGAACGAAAAUGACGGUACUUGCAGAAGAAGGUGCGGCCAACUACGUGCCAGCAGCCGCGGUGACACGUAGGCACCAAGCGUUGUCCGGAUUUAUUGGGCGUAAAGAGCUCGUAGGCGGUUCGGUAAGUCGGGUGUGAAAACUUGGGGCUUAACCCCAAGCCUGCAUCCGAUACUGCUGUGACUAGAGUUCGGUAGGGGAGCGG